AGUGAACGCUGGCGGUAGGCCUAACACAUGCAAGUCGAACGGCAGCACAGUAAGAGCUUGCUCUUACGGGUGGCGAGUGGCGGACGGGUGAGGAAUACAUCGGAAUCUACUUUUUCGUGGGGGCUAACGUAGGGAAACUUACGCUAAUACCGCAUACGACCUACGGGUGAAAGCAGGGGAUCUUCGGACCUUGCGCGAUUGAAUGAGCCGAUGUCGGAUUAGCUAGUUGGCGGGGUAAAGGCCCACCAAGGCGACGAUCCGUAGCUGGUCUGAGAGGAUGAUCAGCCACACUGGAACUGAGACACGGUCCAGACUCCUACGGGAGGAAGCAGUGGGGAAUAUUGGACAAUGGGCGCAAGCCUGAUCCAGCCAUACCGCGUGGGUGAAGAAGGCCUUCGGGUUGUAAAGCCCUUUUGUUGGGAAAGAAAAGCAGCAGGUUAAUACCCCGCUGUUCUGACGGUACCCAAAGAAUAAGCACCGGCUAACUUCGUG
rnacentral:rRNA from 1 species